CUUCUAAGGGGUGUCUGCCGGUGCUGGGAGAGUGGUGCUCUGUGUGCUGAAGCAGAGAGCUGAUGGAAAUCCUCAGCAGUGAGAAGCUACCUUGGCAUCAUCCAUGGAGGAGGCCUUACCUGAGAGCGGAGGCUGGAAAGGACAUGCCCACAGCUGUGCCCGUCUGUGGCCUGGGUACCGUUCUUCCCCAAAUUCUGGACCCACACGGAUCCCAAGACCUCCUGGAGGAACACUCUUCUAACACUACGGACCUGUCUGCACACAGCGGUGGACGUGUUCCUGGAGGGUUUAUUUCCGCUCUGGAUGGAAAAGUCCAGUUGAGAGAGAGAGAGGUUGGGAAAACAGGAGACGGAAGAAAUAAUUAACAGAAGGAACGCGUUGCCUGAAAAGACCCGAUACCAACUGAGACCUGUAAAAUUUUCUGCAGUGGUUGCACCUUCACACUCAAUGCUGAGCUCUUUCUGCAUCUGCAGAAUCCGAGUUCCCGUUUCCAAACCACCUACACCUCUAAGAUUGGAAGUUGGUGAUAUUUGAUGGGAACUUCCAAUGGUUUUCUUCUUUUUUCUUAAUAACAAAGAGAAAAUAGCCUUAGGUAUUUAUUGCCGUUUUUAUGGGCUCUCUUAAAUUGAGGUACAAUUUAAACAUUAAAUUGUACACAUGACAUUAUAUUCGCUUCAGGUGCACAACUUAAUGAUUCGAUAACUGUGUACAUUGCAAGUCGAUCAUCACAACCUGUAUAGUUCGUAUCGGUCAGCGUGCACAGUUACCAAAAAUGUUUUUCUCGGGGGGAGGACUUUUAAGGUCCACUCUCCUGCAGCUUUCCAAUAUGCAACACCAUGUCAUUAACUGUGCUUUAUAUCCCAUCACCAUGCCCUCUUUAUUUCACAAUGGGAAGUUUGUACCUUUUGACCGCCUUCAGCCCAUUUGACCCAUUUCUAGCUGACCCGGUCACAUGUCUGCCGGAGGUCAUCACGAGACCGGCAGGGGCAGCCUCUUGGGAGACCUGUUUUGACUCUCCGUCCUUCUGGCUGACAGAUUUCCUGGUGGUCUGGGUAGUUUCGCAGUGGUCGUCCUUCCCCUUGAAUCACAACCCAAAGGUUAACAAGUCCCUUGCUCUUUAACAGCUGGUAUAAACUGUACUUGCAGUGGCUCAGGACUGGGAGUCCAGGUGAAUGCUCUUCCCAUGUAAGGACGUGUGUGUGCAGAGGGGGCUGGUGAUAAGCCCCCCCCCCCCGUGGCUAGAACUCGCUCCUGCAUGUUGACACCUGGCUCUGAGUUUAAGGGGGAGAAUCCGCUGGAUGGGAGUAAAGGGUCAGGACACGUAAGAAGAGAAAGAACAUUUUCAAAGACGUCAGACAAGUCACAGGUUGAAGGUUGAAUUUUUUUUUUUUUUUUUUUUUUUUACUGCUUCAGGAGAUGGAAGCAAAUUUCCUUGGUAAGAAAUGAUUGCCUUAUAGGAUCGGCUUGGGAGCUAUUAGCAAGCUCUGGCCCAAGUGCAGCAUUCCCCACAGGUCAUAAAGAUGAUUAUAGGCAGGGAGUGAUCAUUAGAAAAAUGAUUAAGACUUAUUAACGCAUUACUCAAUUACUUAUUAAUUACUUUAAAACGUGGCUAAAAAGGAGGCAGUGAGGGGUUCACAAUUUUAAUGGGUAUUUGAACUCACAGAGGUUGAGUUGAUGAGCGCCAGCUGCUGCGACCUUUUGCCUGUUGAUGAGCUACUGAGGGACAGGCUGGGGAGCCACGCUCUAGAAUCUCUCUCUUCACAGCACGGCCCCACUGCGGGAGGGCAGGCGCUCCCCCGGGAGAGUAGAGGAGCGCUCGCACCUGCAUUCGGCUGGAGAGCCAUGAAGUCAGGAUCAGGCCAAGGCCGGCAGCCCUGGUGGAAGGCGGAGGAGAGCUGUGCUUGGCGUUUCCCAUAGUGGACACCGGGUCUAAGGCUGCACCAGGACAAGUGAGAUGAAUUCAACAUGAAUUCAACUUCUGGAACAAGCGGAUUCGUAGCUAGCCAGGCACAGUAUAAACACCAGUGAUACGGCCUUCAGGCCUUCUUGCUUGGUGAGAGUAGGAGGGCGGCCACUCAAGACACCCCCAUCCCUCAUUCAGACCUUGAGAGGCCUUUUGGUGUCUUUUGAACAUAUGUCCACCCGCUCUGUGAUCCAGAAAGUGCCCCCUUCUCUGCAUUCCCAGAGGUUUCUUUCUCCAGGGAGCUGUCUUUAUGGUGUCACAUAUGUCCUGCUGUUGUUUGCUCAUCUUUCUGGUGUCCUCACAGAUGUUUUUAAUCAUACCCUCUGAAACAGGAGGAACAAUUCGCAUUAUAUCACAGCUACGGAGCGUUGGUUUUCUCAUGUUCAGUAACUGAGGCAGAAUGAUGACAGCUUUUCCCAAAAAGAGUAGAGUUAUCUUUUUUAACCAAAAAGGACUUUGGUUUUUAUGGGAAAAUACAGACUAUUGCGGAAAGAAGCAUGUCAGAAAGGAGAAGAGGGCAUAGAACGUAAAGAGUGAAAGAACAAAAAAGGAGCAGAGCAGAAUGAGAAGGAGAGUGAGACGGUGGGAAGCUUCUGAGCUGUGCUCCCCGAACAAUCUCAGGCAUGUAGAAGCAGGGCAGCUACCUCCCUGUGCCCAUCUGCGGUGGCUGAUCUCAGGUCCGCUUGGGUCAGAGGGUGCUCAGACCUCUGGUCAGACAUUGUUCCGGGUGCGUCUGUGAAGGCGUCUCUGGGUGAGACUGUUAGACUGAGUAAGCCGACUGCCCUCCGCAGGGCGGGCGGGCCUCGCCCGUGGCACAGAUGUGUGUGUAUUGCCUGUGUCUCCCGAAUCGUGUUUCCAUGGCCACCCUGAGGGUGUCUCUACCAGCCCAGAGCUCGUCCUUCCCUGUGUGUUGAGGGAAGAAGGCAUUUGUCUCACGUGGACUCCUGGGCCAGUUCAGAUGAAGACCUCCUGUUGUCACCUUGUGUCCCUUAGAGUCCUCAGGCCUUAGGCGUCCACCUGCUCUGCUGGGGGCCGGCCCCUGGAGCUUUGGAGCCUCCCUCCUGCAUUAUGUUGGUCUCGCUACCACCACAUCGGCCUCCACAGAAGGAUGAUUCAGGGAAGGCCGUCAUUCCUCAAAGGCCCCUAUAAAUUCUCCAGAGGAGUCCUAGUCAUGGAAAGUUUAGGGAGAAGAAGAAAGAGUUGAGUAAACUUGCACCUGCCAGUUGUGCUGACCAGCUUUCCUCUUGGUCCAGGAGCAGCACCCCUCUUUUGGGGAAACCACUACUUUUCCCUCCACCUGGUUCCAGUAGGAUAUCAUCUCUUCAUGGCAACAGUACUUGGUCCACAGAAUAGACACAAGACCUGAACAAGGAGGUCAGAAUGCUUCCUUGGGAUUGAAUAUGGACACUGAGAAAAAGCGUCUGUCUUUCUCCUGGGCUUAUGAAGCUCAGACAGUAUAACCUUGGAGCAGCUAAUAAUCUGUCUUCCCUAACUGCAUAGAAAAAGUCCAUCUAUCGAGGGAGAAAAUGAGGCUGACACAGAUUAGCAGAACCAGAAAGUGAGCAAGUGGAGGAGGAGGAGGAAUCUAAUUCAAGUGUGCAAGAUGCUGGGUCAAGCCAUGCCUGAAAGAGCCAUUAACCCCUGGAUUUUCCAGGUAUAUGAGCCAGUGUACUUCAUUUCGAUUCAAGGUGGUUUGAUUUGAGGUUCUGUUAUCCAUAGUAUAAAGCCUUGUAGUUAAUACCACAAGCGGGUUGGCGGGUUACAGGUGACAGACUUGUAAUUGCAGACCUUGUGGUUGUAGACUUGUAAUUGGGUCCCGGGUAGUGAGCGGGGCCUGUGCUGAGAAGCUGAUGAUCUUAGUGAGUGAUUGUCAGCUACACUGCUGUCUGCUGGGCCUUUGAGUCAGAUUCUGUGCCUACCCUGCAGGGAAAAGAGGGGCCACAUAAUCAAAAGUCUUUUGAAAAUGCCAAAGCUUAAUUAUCUGCCUCUACCACGUCAGGGAAGCGGGCAAAAGUGGGAAACACGAAUGGCAUCUGAGAAAUUUAGUGUAUCUUGUGGGAUUUCUGCUUCCUUCCUUCAAACAGGAAGAAAGAUGGCCUUUUCCUGAGGAUGGAAAGAUCCUUGGGGCCUCUUUCCUAAAAUAUUGUGCUUUUUAAGAUAAGGAAAAACACAAGGAAUAACAUGGCAAAUGCCAGUUCUCCACGACCCAGAAUGAAUGCUGGUUAAUUGCUUCUAGACAUAGGUAACCUAUAUAUGGUUCAAAAAUGUUAUGUAUUGUAGAGUAUUUCAUGACAUGAUUAUAAACAUAAAUUUUGUCUAUUUCCUUUAUAGUAGAUAUUCAUGUUGUCCGCUUUAUAGGACAACGGACUAGUCAUUUCCCUGACAUAUGUUUUGUUGUACAUAUGUGUGAGAAUAUUUUCUAGCUUGUACGUCUUGGAAUGGACUACUGGAGCAUAAAGUUUACAUGGUUUUAAUUUUGCGAGCCACCGUCAAUUGUUUUCUGAAAUGGUUAUGCCAAUUUUUAUUCUUACCAGUGCUGUGUGAAGAUUCCAUUGUCCCCAGUUUUUUGCAAAUAAUUGACAGUGUCAGACUUUCUAGGGUUUGCAGGUCUGAUGAGACAGGACCGCAUUAUGUUGCUGCUCUGCUUUGCAUUUUUGCAGGGUCCAGGUGAGGGCGAACAUCUUUUUUGUCCGUUCAGAUUUCUCCUUCCAUGGUGAUAAGCUGCGGUGGUUCUUCUGUGUGUCUCUUCUUCAUUGGUGGGAGUUCUGCAUGUAUUCUGCCGACGAAUCCUUUGGUGGUAGAAUAUUGGCUUUGACCCAAGCUGCCUGUGUUUGAGUUCUAAUUUGUCACCAAUCCAGUAAAUGACUUGUUUCCUCUGUGCUUCAGUUCUAUUAGCUGUAAACUAGAGCUGUUGAUAGUUUCUUACGCAUGGUGUUAUCCUGAAGCUUUACUGAAUGCAUGUUCAUAAAAGGGAUUUCGGACAGUACUAGAUAACUUAUCAGAAUGUGGAGGGAUAAAAACAAAGAGAAAAAUGCAAGGAGCUCACAUUCUUUCCAGUUCUUUUACAGCAACAGAAACAAGACAACCAUCAGUCGGUCAAUAAAUUAUCCCAGUACA
rnacentral:lncRNA from 1 species